rnacentral:rRNA from 1 species
AGCAGCCGCGGUAAUUCCAGCUCCAAUAGCGUAUAUUAAAGUUGUUGCAGUUAAAAAGCUCGUAGUUGAAUUUCGAGACCGGCUUACUGGUCGUGCUAUUGUGCGUACUGGUAUAAUCGGUUUCUCCUUUCUGACGAACUAUAAUGCCAUUAAUUUGGUGUUAUAGGGAAUCAGGACUGUUACUUUGAAAAAUUAGAGUGUUUAAAGCAGGCUCACGCUUGAAUACAUUAGCAUGGAAUAACGGAAUAGGACGUUUGAUUCUAUUUUGUUGGUUUCUAGGAUCGACGUAAUGAUUAAUAGGGAUAGUUGGGGGCAUUAGUAUUCAAUUGUCAGAGGUGAAAUUCUUGGAUUUAUUGAAGACUAACUACUGCGAAAGCAUUUGCCAAGGAUGUUUUCAUUAAUCAAGAACGAAAGUUAGGGGAUCGAAGACGAUCAGAUACCGUCGUAGUC